GAGUCGAUAGCGUAGCCGGCAACGCACCUGUCCCACAUGAUGCAUAGUGUCUUGAUGAUUUACGGUAUACAGGAGGACCCCAGUUCGACCCUGGGUCGACUCA